rnacentral:rRNA from 1 species
GAUGAACGCUGGCGGCGUGCCUAAUACAUGCAAGUCGAGCGAACAGAUGAGGAGCUUGCUCCUCUGACGUUAGCGGCGGACGGGUGAGUAACACGUGGAUAACCUACCUAUAAGACUGGGAUAACUUCGGGAAACCGGAGCUAAUACCGGAUAAUAUAUUGAACCGCAUGGUUCAAUAGUGAAAGACGGUUUUGCUGUCACUUAUAGAUGGAUCCGCGCCGCAUUAGCUAGUUGGUAAGGUAACGGCUUACCAAGGCAACGAUGCGUAGCCGAACUGAGAGGGGGAUCGGCCACACUGGAAUUGAGACACGGUCCAGACUCCUACGGGAGGCAGCAGUAGGGAAUCGUCCGCAAUGGGCGAAAGCCUGACGGAGCAACGCCGCGUGAGUGAUGAAGGUCUUCGGAUCGUAAAACUCUGUUAUUAGGGAAGAACAAAUGUGUAAGUAACUAUGCACGUCUUGACGGUACCUAAUCAGAAAGCCACGGCUAACUACGUG